GACGAACGCUGGCGGCGUGCUUAACACAUGCAAGUCGGACGGUCGGCACUGGAAGGUUCGCUGGAAGGUGCCGAUAGUGGCGGACGGGUGAGUAACGCGUGAGGACAUGGCUCCAGGAGGGGGAUAACGUUUGGAAACGGACGCUAAGACCCCAUAAGCCGGGAGGUGAAAAUGGCGCAAGCCAGCCUGGAGAGUGACUCGCGUCCUAUCAGCUGGUUGGUGGGGUGACGGCCCACCAAGGCGAUGACGGGUAGCCGACCUGAGAGGGUGGCCGGCCACACUGGAACUGAGAUACGGUCCAGACUCCUACGGGAGGCAGCAGUGGGGAAUAUUGGGCAAUGGGCGCAAGCCUGACCCAGCGACGCCGCGUGGGGGAAGAAGUCUUUCGGGACGUAAACCCAUGUUGUACGGGACGAAGGAAGUGACGGUACCGUACGAGGAAGCCCCGGCAAACUACGUG
rnacentral:rRNA from 1 species